AAUCGCUAGUAAUCGCAGAUCAGCAUGCUGCGGUGAAUACGUUCCCGGGUCUUGUACACACCGCCCGUCACACCAUGGGAGUCGGAAAUGCCCGAAGUCAGUGGCCCAACCGCAAGGAGGGAGCUGCCGAAGGCAGGUCCGGUGACUGGGGUGAAGUCGUAACAAGGUAGC
rnacentral:rRNA from 1 species